rnacentral:ncRNA from 1 species
AAAGAAAAAUGGCAAACUUAUCGAAAGGUAGGGACGCAAAGCUAUAGGGACUAAAGGACAAUCCAAUGUCAGCCAGCUGCCUUA